UGGAUCCAGACUUUGAUCAUGGCUCAGGAUGAACGCUAGCUACAGGCUUAACACAUGCAAGUCGAGGGGAAACGACAUCGAAAGCUUGCUUUUGAUGGGCGUCGACCGGCGCACGGGUGAGUAACGCGUAUCCAACCUGCCCACCACUUGGGGAUAACCUUGCGAAAGUAAGACUAAUACCCAAUGAUAUCUCUAGAAGACAUCUGAAAGAGAUUAAAGAUUUAUCGGUGAUGGAUGGGGAUGCGUCUGAUUAGCUUGUUGGCGGGGUAACGGCCCACCAAGGCAACGAUCAGUAGGGGUUCUGAGAGGAAGGUCCCCCACAUUGGAACUGAGACACGGUCCAAACUCCUACGGGAGGCAGCAGUGAGGAAUAUUGGUCAAUGGACGAGAGUCUGAACCAGCCAAGUAGCGUGCAGGAUGACGGCCCUAUGGGUUGUAAACUGCUUUUAUAAGGGAAUAAAGUGAGUCUCGUGAGACUUUUUGCAUGUACCUUAUGAAUAAGGACCGGCUAAUUCCGUGCCAGCAGCCGCGGUAAUACGGAAGGUCCGGGCGUUAUCCGGAUUUAUUGGGUUUAAAGGGAGCGUAGGCCGGAGAUUAAGCGUGUUGUGAAAUGUAGACGCUCAACGUCUGCACUGCAGCGCGAACUGGUUUCCUUGAGUACGCACAAAGUGGGCGGAAUUCGUGGUGUAGCGGUGAAAUGCUUAGAUAUCACGAAGAACUCCGAUUGCGAAGGCAGCUCACUGGAGCGCAGCCGACGCUGAAGCUCGAAAGUGCGGGUAUCGAACAGGAUUAGAUACCCUGGUAGUCCGCACGGUAAACGAUGGAUGCCCGCUGUUGGUCUGAAUAGGUCAGCGGCCAAGCGAAAGCAUUAAGCAUCCCACCUGGGGAGUACGCCGGCAACGGUGCAACUCAAAUGAAUUGACGGA
rnacentral:rRNA from 1 species